UAAAUGAUCAAUAUUUUUUUUCAGUAUUGAGCAACUACUGAGCAGCCUAAGUUAGAAGUUCCUUAGAAGUAUUUGUCCUGGAAGCAAACAAUAACAGUUAAAAAAAAAGCUCAGAAGGUGGGGGGGUGCUGUAACAGGCAGGCACUGUGAGCCUCAAAGGAGAGGGCAUUGCAAAGGUAAGGUGCUGAAACUGAAAAUGCCCCAAUUCUAAGCAGGAUCUGUGUAAGUGGGGAUACAGAGCAGGUCACAUUUUCACAAAAAACAGACUCAUUCUAGUUCCUACAGAAUGUGAUCUACUCUUCCUACAAUGGUUAUUAAGUUGACAUUCUGAAGCUCCAGAUCUUUUAGAAAUGUACAGUGGUGAGCUAAUGCCAACAAGAACAACUGCAAUUAGAAACUUCCUAAAACUCUCAGGACCUCCCCCCCGGAAUUUCUUUUGUACAAGGAGAUGCAAUACUAAAUUCAGCUAUGUUAAUUCACCUACUACUGACCAGUUUCUCCAGAACAUUUUAGGCUGCAUAACCUCUGAAAAAUGCAAACUCACACACACCAGCAUGUGUGUAAGUUUAUAAUGCUCAAAAUCCAGGUAGGUGGGAGAGGGUACGUGAAAACUCCUGAGAGACAAUUUAAUGAUAACAUGAGAUGCUCUUUGUAUAUAUUACAAUAAAGUACUAUAAAUGUAUAUUUUCCAAUUUCCAGCAACAGGUAGAGUGCUAGGGAUCAAUGCUUGUACUCCACUUUAGAGCCAGAGCCCCUCCCUGUCUCUAGGGAGUCAGUCUGCCUCCAGUGCAAUCCUUGGCAGAGUUACUCCAGCACAUUGAUUUCAAUGGGUGUAGUCAAGUACUAUGGCACUGUAAAAUACUGUAAAGAAUGCUUCAGUUUGCAAAUGGCUAUCCUCUUUCCCAGCCUAUCUGCCCGUUUGCUCAUAGCACUAAAGCAUUUGCAUUGUGAAUAAUUUACCAACUUAUAAAAUGGGUGACUCUCACAAAAGGACACCUGCCAAGCCAAGAGCUAUUUCCCUCUCUAAUUAACAUAGUGAACUGUCUCCCAAAAUUUGGAAAAUUACAUUGACAAAGGUUUCUUUACCUGCAAGAAAUAAAGGGAAAAGACAGCAAAGAUUCCUGGCUGUGAAGAAUCAGAAAAGAGAAAAUGCCACCAGUACUGCAGGUACAGAAGCAGUGCACAGAAUUUUAUUUAGCUGUCUCUCAAAGACAAACCAUGAUUACAUUGGGCAUAAUAAACAUGGGUCCACAAGUGGUCCCUAGGCUUAGAACCCUGUAUCUCUAAUUCAACAAAGGAAAAAUGGGUUCUAAGGCCCUCCCUUAUUUUGGAAAACAUUUAAAGAGAUCUUUAAACCCAGCAUACCUACAGGGAAAAUACGCCAGGAAAACCCCAGGCAAUGUUCUUAGGGGCCAAUUAACUCCAUGGGAAUCCUGCACUCCUCCCAAUGCACUAAACUAAGUUCCAUCCAGAAUGCAAGCAGGUAUUGUCUCACCCAGAGAGGCAGGACAUUACAUCUAGUUAUACCACGGACCAAGCUAGUCUUGUCUUCAGUUUAAUUCAGUCAACUUUCCCACACACCCUUUGUAGUAUGAGCAAAUACUGCAUUUUUCUUUACAAAAUUCAAACCCAACAGACUAAAAGUUAAAACAGCUCUUCUGCCUAGUAAUUUGGAUUCAGUCACUCUUGGGACUCCGACAUCAACUUGGAACAAGGUAUUGCCCAAGGGCCAUCUCCCAUUGCCCAACAAUCCUCAAGGAAUCCUAGACCAUAGGACCACUUCCUGACAGGCAAGGUCUAUUUUACAUUCUUCCCUUCAUUCCCCAUUCAGGGAGCAACCCUUUCUCCACUAAUGUAACUUUACUUCAGACUAGAUUGUGUACUAGCUUCCCCUUAAUGUAUGUGACAUUCACCUGGAUCAACUGCUUACUUCUGAAUUGGCUCUAUCUCUCUUGUUUUAAUGCUGUCUCUGUUAUUGUAAAUAAAAGUAUAUUUACAGUA